AGAUCUGCCAUUGAGUAUGUCCUUUCUUCCAUUGUACAUCACACUUGAAGAAAGCAGAGACUGAGCCAACACCAUCUUGGGAUGCCUUUAUAGGAACACUCUUCAUUCAUUACCCCUUUUUCAUGUAUUUAUUACUUGAAUGCUAAGAGUGAUAUAUAUGUUGUUUGAUAUUUUUUUUUAGAAACCACUUCCAGGUCAUACACACCUCUGCAUGUACAAUUAAUUUUAAUGAGGAUUAUCUAUAGCGAUACAGCACAUCUUCAAUUACUGAGUCUAUUUUUGUAUUAUCUCUGACUGUAAAUUCAGUUCCACCAAAGUGCCUAUGAGAAAAAUUUGGAGAAUUCACAUAUUGACACAGAAUCACAUUGUAAGAUUGUAUGUAUUAUAUCAAAUUAACUCUUUUCAGUUGACAUUUUGCUACAGAUUUCCUUUGCAAACUGAAAACAGCUCAAAGUUUUAUUUUGCUUAUAGUUCUUUUUUUUCCACAUCAAGUAUUUCUGUUAUGCAUCUUCCAAGUGUUUUACUUCUGUAAAUCUUUUUCAUUUGUUUUCAUUAUGUUUUUGAUAUAAUGAAUUGGACUUGCAUGUUUUACUAACUUUACAAAGGAUAUUGGGGGGAAAAUGUUCAUGAAAAAUAAGAACACCUUCAGUUGUAAGUGCGCUGAUUUUGAUUUUUGCUUUAUAUAGAAAUCACAGACUAACUGGUUGAUUUUGCUUAUGGGGCAGAUGCUGCUUUGAAUGAUAUGGUGAGGAUUGUAAUGUAUGUAUACAUAACACUAUGUUGUAAAUAAAUAUUCUUUGAAGAGGCACUUUUGUCAUUUAUACAUCAUUACAUAUUAAUCUGUAGCUAGGUUUCCUCUACUGCUGUCUUAAGUUUCAGUAACACAAAUGGAAAACUUUAAAUUAAGAAGAAGACGUCAAAUAAUUUCAUCCAUCCAUGUGAAAGCAAAUCAGUGUCAGAUCAUUACAGCUGGAGAGCUGCUGGGUCAAUAUAUGAUUGCAGGACCUUUUGUAAUAUAGCUGAAAGGUAUCAUAGUUGACAUUUUUGCUGUUUUCAGGCCUAAAAUCAACAUGGCCACCUUUAACCAAACACCACAUGGCAUUUUUAGAGAAAGAUUGUUCUAAAUAUUAUAUAUACAGUUAACUAAAAUUGAAAUUGAAAGUUAUUUAUAAAGAUAUUGUAGUAAACCUAUUGACGUGUGAUAAAUCUACACUUGACUCACACACUAUAUUAUAUUAUGAAUACUAAGAAAGCCCUGGAGUCUUGCCAGUCUUUUCUUCAGGAGGAAAUGACAUCAUGUGGAGCAGGUCAAAGUGAUUUCUCAGACACAGAUAUAAUUUGUUAUUUUCCAUAUAAAAUUUGAUAUAUU
ensembl:lncRNA